UUCUUUGGAGAGUUUGAUCCUGGCUCAGGACGAACGCUGGCGGCGUGCCUAAUACAUGCAAGUCGAGCGGACCGGAUUGGGGCUUGCCUUGAUUCGGUCAGCGGCGGACGGGUGAGUAACACGUGGGCAACCUGCCCGCAAGACCGGGAUAACUCCGGGAAACCGGAGCUAA
rnacentral:rRNA from 1 species